GAAGGCGGUCGGGAGGUCGCCGGUGGACACGAACCGUCCACGGGAGGAAAGUCCGGGCUCCGCAGGACAGGGAGGUCGUCAACGACGACCCGGGGUGACCCGAGGGAAAGCGCAACAGAAAUCACACCGCCGAUGGCGGUGCCCGCCCCGGAAGGGGCAGUCAUCGAACAGGCAAGGGUGAAAUCGUGGGGUAAGAGCCCACGCGCGACAGCCGGGCGACCGGCGGCGAGGCAAGCCCCUCCCGGAGCAAGCUCGAAUAGGGACACCGUCGAGGGCGGUCCGCCCGAACGCCCGGACUCCGGUCCGGGCGGGGUGUCCGGGUGAGAGUGCUCGAGCCGGCCAGCAAUGGUCGGCCUAGAGGAAUGACCUUCGCCGGCGCCGGGGCAACCGGGCGUCGGAACAGAACCCGGCUUACAGGCCGCUCCGACU
rnacentral:RNase_P_RNA from 1 species